CCAAUUAAAUCAUAAACAUUAAUUCUUAUCACAGUAUCAGUGCUCCAUCUAUAGGCCUAACAAAGGGGUGUUGAUAGACUUUUGAUUGGCUGAGCCACCAUCUAUUUGAAAACAAGCGACUUUGAUUGGCUGGAGACAGGAAGUUAUGUUUUGAAAACAAAGGGGGUUUUCAUCAACUGACUUUGAGCUUUAAGGUAUAAUUGAGUAACAUUAAGACUUAUAAUUCUAGUUUAAAUUGUCUUGAAUAACUUUCAGCAUGAAGUAUUGUGUGGUGAAAACAAUGUGUAUGUACUACAAUGUGUAAAUCAACAAUAAGUUUGUUGCAAAGGAGAUUCAAAGUGGAUGGUUAAAGUGAUAUGGUCUCAUAAUUCAUCAACUGCCUGUUAUCUUGGAAUACUGAAGAACAGUUGUUUUAGGUUAAACUCCCAAGGUGAAAUUUACAUUGAUUGGAAGAUUCUUUGGAUAGAAUAUUUCUGCCAAAAGACAGCAGAAGGGGGACUAACUGAUGUAUGGAUUUUGACACCAGAUUUUACCCUGCACGAGCAGCCCAACUUGAGUAGAUCAGGAGUGGGAAAACCGAGCCCUGUCCUUGACCAAGGAAAGUUGGAUUUGUUGAGAGGACCUGAUCUCAAAUGAGAUCAUGCACAAGACGCACCUCGCAAAGGCCAUGACAGUAUAGUUUUCAGACCUGAUCAGCUGGUGACUGCUCUAUGAAGUGCUGUUCAACCUCCCCUAAGGGGGAGAUUCGAGAGGGUCUCCUGAUUG